rnacentral:rRNA from 1 species
UACGGGGGGAGCAAGCGUUGUUCGGAUUUACUGGGCGUAAAGGGCGCGUAGGCGGCCACCGCAAGUCGACUGUGAAAUCUCCGGGCUUAACCCGGAAAGGUCAGCCGAUACUGCGGGGCUAGAGUGCAGAAGGGGCAACUGGAAUUCCCGGUGUAGUGGUGAAAUGCGUAGAUAUCGGGAGGAACACCAGUGGCGAAGGCGACUACCUGGCCUGUUCUUGACGCUGAGGCGCGAAAGCUAGGGGAGCAAACGGG